rnacentral:rRNA from 1 species
AACGAACGCUGGCGGCAGGCCUAACACAUGCAAGUCGAGCGAAGCCUUCGGGCUUAGCGGCGGACGGGUGAGUAACGCGUGGGAACGUGCCCUUUGCUACGGAAUAGCCCCGGGAAACUGGGAGUAAUACCGUAUGUGCCCUUCGGGGGAAAGAUUUAUCGGCAAAGGAUCGGCCCGCGUUGGAUUAGGUAGUUGGUGGGGUAAUGGCCUACCAAGCCGACGAUCCAUAGCUGGUUUGAGAGGAUGAUCAGCCACACUGGGACUGAGACACGGCCCAGGCUCCUAAGGGAGGCAGCAGUGGGGAAUCUUAGACAAUGGGGGAAACCCUGAUCUAGCCAUGCCGCGUGAUCGAUGAAGGCCUUAGGGUUGUAAAGAUCUUUCAGUGGGGAAGAUAAUGACUGUACCCACAGAAGAAGCCCCGGCUAACUCCGUGCCAGCCGCCGCCGUAAGAC